CGAUAAUAAGUGAGAAGUGAACGUCGUACACCGAAGGAAGAGAAGAAUGCGUAUUAGCGGCAUAUCUCGGAUAAUCGAGGGAGACAUUUGACGUUUCACCGGCGACAUCACGACGACAUGUAGAAAGAAAGAUAGAUAGAUAGAUAGAGAUAGAGAAAGAAAGAGAGAGAAAGAGAGAAAGAGAGAGGAAAAGAUGCGGACGGAUUUCCCGAGCGUCUGGUGAAUCUAAAUGGGAGCUUCGCGUCUGCGGCGUAUGUAGUUUCCAGUUAGUGCCUUUGUCCUGACAUGAGAUGCGUAAUAGGACGAGUAUGCAGCCAGACAAUGCAACAGCAUCGAUUGCAUUGUUUUUCAAACAUCGACCACCGGCAUUGGCGAUCCUUUGUACGUUCCGACAAUUCGAAAGGUCGAGCGUAAAAUUCACUUAUAAAUUUAAUCAAAAACAUGAAUGAACACAUUGUAAAGGUUUCUGAAGCUAUUUCAAUGUAAUAU